rnacentral:rRNA from 1 species
AUUGAACGCUGGCGGCAGGUCUAACACAUGCAAGUCGAGCGAGCGGCGGACGGGUGAGUAAUGUGUGGGAAACUGCCUGAUGGAGGGGGAUAACUACUGGAAACGGUAGCUAAUACCGCAUACCAUCAGAUGUGCCCAGAUGGGAUUAGCUAGUAGGUGGGGUAACGGCUCACCUAGGCGACGAUCCCUAGCUGGGCUGAGAGGAUGACCAGCCACACUGGACCUUAGCCACGGUCCAGCCUCCUACGGGAGGCAGCAGUGGGGAAUAUUGCACAAUGGGCGCAAUCCUGAUGCAGCCAUGCCGCGUGUGUGAAGAAGGCCUUCGGGUUUUAAAGCACUUUCAGCUGGGAGGCGUUACCCGCAGAAGAAGUACCGGCUAACUCCGUGCCAGCAGCCGCGGUAAUUC